rnacentral:lncRNA from 1 species
GUUGACACUGUGGACCGGACGAAAAUCUUCCAUAUACUUUUGGCUCAAGACUGACUUCCAAAGAACCAAAUAAACAUGGUAGACAAGAAGGCCAGUAAGAUCUAGUGCUUCAGAAGUGGCAUGAACACCUUGCUAUCUCCAUGAACUAGAAUUGCCACCUUUUUCUCACAGAAUCUUAUUCAUGAAAGACAAAUUGCAUUUUUUGCUCCUAUUCCAUAGCCAAAUAUCCUCUUUCCUGCUCCCUUCCCGCUCUCUUCUUCCCGCAAGCUUGUUAAUUCUCCAUUUCAAUGGGAGCUUCCAAGAGAAAUGGAAGGAAUCAUUCAGCAAGGAGAAAACAUUGACCAUCUAGAGUCUUCGAUAUUGAUUUAGAAUCCACUUUAAUAUGGUCUAAAUUAUGGCUAAACAAUAAACAAGGAAAAGAUGGUGGAGAGAACAAGAAGAGUGGCUAAUCAAGUAAAGCCCAUGGAAACAAACCAGAACCUAAGUGCACGCUGAGCUCAGGGCCUGAGGGACAGAUAAAACACUUCAAACUAGUUUUUGGCCUCCAGGAGUUUAGAGUCUGUUGGGGAGAAAAGGCAUGCUAACAGUUUAUGAGACUCAAUGAGAUGAUUUAUGGCUGUCACCAGAGCAUCACUUCCCUUUCAUCUCCAGAAUAUGGAGCACUUUUUUUUUCUGAUUCCCAAGGGGACCUGGAAACUCAUAUGUAGUCUCUCUUCAUGUCUAGGAAAGCAUGCUGGUAACAGAGAGACACCUCGUCUGGGUGAAGGGAACCACAGUUGUGCUCAUCUCCUGUGGAUGCUACCUCUAACAGCAUGACCUAUUGCAGUGGACUCUUCUCCUGUUCAAUUCACAGCCAUCUCCAGCACCAGAAAUGAGUCCUCCAGUGCUUGGCCAUGAUGGGUUCAGAUUCUUGAUCUGAGUCCUGACCUCUUUUCUGUCCCUGCUCCUCCAAAAGGAAAUCUCAUAGAUCUUUAGAGCACACAAUUUAUUACAUCCCUGUUCCCAGAAAGGGAUGAUGAUGAUUACUAUUUUGAGAACUAUUUUAAGGUGACUUUCUCUCACAUCUUUUGUUAAAAGGGGAAGAAAAAACAACUAAAGAAAGCAAACUAAAACACAGGGAUGUCAAUUAUCAAGACAGUGCUCCUUCUAACGCACCACAGCUGCUCCUGAAUCAAAAGAGGACGCACUUCCAUUGGGUUGGAAUGUUCCGCAUGCAGGUGUAUGAGGAAGAGUUAUUUGAACUGGUUCUUGACUGAAUUAUAGGGUUUGGCUAGGUGGUGGAAGAAGACAAGUUUAUACCUGGACUGGAGGGAUUAGCAUGACUGAAGCCACAGGUUGGAAAAUGCAAGGUGUAUUUGGACGACUGUGUGUAGACUGUUUUGGCUGGAGAAGAGGGCUCAUUCCUGUUACAAAAUGGCACCCAGCCAAAGAGAGGAGAACAAUGAAGAUUGCUUCUGCCAUUGUUGCGAUUUGGGAUUUUCAGGCACCUCUGUUAAAUGAGGACAAACAGUGCUGACCUUCUCUUGCAGGCAGGCUGGGAUUCUGAAUCAUCAGUGACUGGGAAGUGGUGUGCUCCAUUAUCUGAGGCAUGAUAUUAUAUCCACCAGCUAUUUCGUUCAUGCAGUUGGAUUUCUGCUCCAUUGAAAUGAUUCUCUCAGUGUGAGCUCAAUAACAAGGGGCAUGAUGGUAGUUUUUCUGUGUUGCCAGAAACUAGGUCUGAAUUUCUUCCAGCGCCUCCUGCUCUAAAGCACCUCUUAUGAUUAAUUAACCUUUUGUGGAGUAACUAGGACAUCUGUGUGGGAUGAGAUGUACUUUGGUCAGACUUCAGUUUUUAGUUGUUCAGCAAGAGGAUAAUUAAUUAUAAGAGCUGAAUCUGAACAGAAGAUUGUUGGAGGAAGUCCAAAUGAAGCAAAACAUCUAAUUAUCAAUGAACAGGAAGUUUUUUUUUAGUUGUCGUUAUUGUGGGAGUGAAUAAAAUACUUAAUGCAAUAUAAAUAAGAG